rnacentral:lncRNA from 1 species
UUGAGCCUUUAACCGCAACUCUUUGAAUGUGAUCAUCCAGCCAAUUCCAACUGGUGCUGGAAACAACCAAGUAGCUAGCAGUUGGUCAUCUUGCAAGAAAUUCAGAUUGCAAACAGGUGGACAAUCAGAACUGGUGUGGAGGUUAUACCCACAAAGUGAGGAAAAUCGGUAUCUUAGGCUAGUAACCCACCCCAAUUACUCUUCAAAACAAGGCAGCCACAUCCAAAUUGCUACUGAGAAUAGUGCUGUGCUCAUGCUACCUGGGCUGAAGUGUGCCAUUUGAUCAGGGAUCAUUUGUACAGAAAAAAAAAAAACUGCUAUUUUUUUAUUUAUUUAACUCAAAGCAUCUUUAUUCAAAUAGCCAGUGAUCGUAUCUCCUUUUUUGUUCUUUUUUUUUUUUUCCUUUCUCCAGCUGUGUGCCACAAAUGUUGCUGUGGAGUAGGAGUGAAUCUGCCAAAAUCCAUCCAGACAUUGCAAGAAGGCAGAGGUUUUGCUUCUGACUGACCAGUGUGUUGUUUGAUACCCCAGAGCUGUUAUUCAAACUGGCAACAAGAUCAAGGAGAAAAAUGAAGAGUUCGCACAUUUUUCUGAAUGCUGUACAUGACCAGGACAGGAGGGGGAGAAGUUUAACAGUGCUGAGAGGCCCUCUGCAGAGACCAGCAACAUUUUUAAUUUUAAUUUAAAAUGAUAUUUUAGAGCUUGGCAUGUAGGCAGUGAUACCACCACUGUCUAUCACUAUUUUUUCCACUGAGCCAUGUCCUGCUGCUUUUUAAUGAGUCGGCAUUUACGUCUGUGCCUGCCAUUUUUUCUUUUUUUUGUUGUUGUUGCAUUACUCAUUUAUUUCCAUUCAAUUUUCCAUUUCCAUUCCAAUUUUCAUUGAGUACUGAUCCUCUGUUUUCUGAAAUUAGACUGCAGAACCAGAAUAACUCUUGGCACCAGUAUCUUGGCAAUCUUUCUUCGGACUACCUACAUGAAUAUGUGGAAAUAUUAUACGCCCGUUUUUGUCUGGAAAACUGCAUGGUACCAUUGCAGAAAACAAAUAAAUAACUUUUAAAUAAUCAGUAAAAUUGCCUGCAGUAUAGCCACAACAAGUGGAAGGGAUUACUAUGUUCGCACUGAAAAGGAAGACACAAAGUAUAUCAGUUUCAUGGUUAUUAACAACAUAGAGAUUUCAAUAUAAAGUUAAUCGACUGUUGAACACCUCAUGUUUUGUAACAAAUCCAGCCACAGUUCAAGGACAGGAGUGAGUCACCAUUAAUCUAAAUGAAUCCAGGUCCUAUACUUAUGGUAAGACAUUCUUCAGUGCUUGUAGUUCUGCAUUCUCAGUGAAAUGCAUACAGUUGAUCAUGGGCACAAAUGAUGGCAGAUGUGUAAUUACACACUGAGCGUGGAGUACAUGUGCAAGUAUUGAGCACCUCACAAGUUCAUGACAACUAUCUCUGUGAUAACCUGAUACUCCAUGCUAACGUUCUUCCAACGUCUUCUAGUCCAAACUUCAGGUAAAAGUAGACCUUGAAAGCAGCACAAAGCAAAGCCCAGGCAGGUGGGCACAAUGGUUAUAAUGGCAGUCAUCAUGAGUAAAAUCACUGCUAGUAUUUAUCUUUGCUCUUUGUCCUUGCUGUUUGUUCUCUGGCAGCCUGAAAACUAAUUUCCUCCCUCAACUGCAUACCAUGGAACCUGCAUGCUCUGCAGCCUUCACCUUGCAAGGAGAGCUACUGUUGUGGUUUAACCCGGCAGGAGGCUGAGUUCGCUCAUUCCCCCCUUACCAGUGGGAUGGGGGAAAGAAUCAGGAAAAAAAUGUAGAACUUCUGGGUUAAGACAAAAAUAUUUACUAAGAUAAAGGAAAAGGAUAAUAGUUAUGA